CCUACGGGUGGCAGCAGUGGGGAAUAUUGGGCAAUGGGCGCAAGCCUGACCCAGCAACGCCGCGUGAAGGAAGAAGGCUUUCGGGUUGUAAACUUCUUUUCUGAGGGACGAAGAAAGUGACGGUACCUCAGGAAUAAGCCACGGCUAACUACGUGCCAGCAGCCGCGGUAAUACGUGGGUGGCAAGCGUUAUCCGGAUUUAUUGGGUGUAAAUGGUGUGUAGGCGGGAAAGCAAGUCAGAUGUGAAAACUCCGGGCUCAACCCUGGGCCUGCAGUUGAAACUGGUGUUCUUGAGUGCUGGAGAGGCAAUCGGAAUUCCGGGUGUAGCGGUGAAAUGCGUAGAUAUACGGAGGAACACCAGUGGCGAAGGCGGAUUGCUGGACAGUAACUGACGCUGAGGCGCGAAAGCGUGGGGAGCGAACAGGAUUAGAUACCCGAGUAGUC
rnacentral:rRNA from 1 species